CGGGAUGUAGUUCAGUCCGGUAGAAUCCACGUCUGGGGGGCGUGUGGUCGUGAGUUCGAAUCUCGCCAUCCCGA
rnacentral:tRNA from 1 species